AGGUUAGAACAGUUUCAAGGGAGCAAGUUCAUGCAUUAAGGGAAGCUGUCCAUGAUGGAUAUGAAGCAAAUGCAAGGCCAACUCAAAAAUUGGAUGGAAGACCAGUGUGGAUGUAUACUCCAAGAGGAGGCCAUGGAGGUUCUACUUAAGUUUGACUGUGAUAGAGAGGACAUUUUUCCACAUGUCUAUAAAUUUAUAUAUCAUAAAUAAAUUAUGUGCCAUUUGAUAGAUGGAACGUAUAUAAUUAUAUAUAUAAAUAAUAUACAUUCACACACCCACACAGAAAUAUACAGGCAUUACUUGCUUAUCUUUGUAAUUUAAUCAUUAUGCCUAAUGUUCAAUUGGCUAUUUUAAUCA